UACAGAGGGUGCAAGCGUUAAUCGGAGUUACUGGGCGUAAAGGGUGCGUAGGUGGUGAGAUAAGUCAGUUGUGAAAGGCCUGGGCUUAACCUAGGAAUUGCAAUUGAAACUGUGUGACUGGAGUUGAGUAGAGGGGAGCGGAAUUUCCGGUGUAGCGGUGAAAUGCGUAGAUAUCGGAAGGAACACCAGUGGCGAAGGCGGCUCUCUGGACUCAAACUGACGCUGAAGCACGAAAGCGUGGGUAGCGAACAGG
rnacentral:rRNA from 1 species